rnacentral:snoRNA from 1 species
AGACCGUGAUGUAGGCAUUUCCUUAAUAGCUCUUUGAACCUGUCCCAUGUCUCAUAUAAGGAUUCCCCGUCUUCUUGAUAGUAGGUGUUAAUCUCGGUCAUGAGUUU